UACGUAGGGUGCGAGCGUUUGUCCGGAAUUAUUGGGCGUAAAGGCGCGUAGGCGGCCUGACAAGUGGAAGGUGAAAUCCCUCGGCUUAACCGAGGAACUGCCUUCCAAACUGUUUGGCUUGAGUGCAGGAGAGGAAUGCGGAAUUCCAGGUGUAGCGGUGAAAUGCGUAGAUAUCUGGAGGAGCACCGGUGGCGAAGGCGGCAUUCUGGACUGUAACUGACACUGAUGAACGAAAGCCAGGGGAGCAAACGGG
rnacentral:rRNA from 1 species